rnacentral:tRNA from 1 species
GCUGCCGUGGCUCAGCAGGUAGAGCGCGUCCUUGGUAAGGACGAGGUCGUGGGUUCGAACCCCACCGGCAGCU